rnacentral:lncRNA from 1 species
UCUGAAGGCACACCACACUAGAGCUACUCGUCUAGUUCCUCCCAGACAUCAUCACAAUCACAUUCAUCACACUCACCUGCAAUAUGGAUUUAAAAGAGAGGGGUGAGUAAUUUGGGGAAAUUACUCAGUGAGAACCAAACCAGACUCCCUUCCCACUCAUUUAUUUUCCACCAACAUGUCAAGAAUAAAUCCAACAAGCAACACACAAGCAUCCUAGCGAUGCACAAACAACUAGCAAGCAAUGAUGUCUCCAACCCGCCUAUCACACAAGGCCACACCUCCCAGUCACACAGCUUCAAAAUAAAUAGUCCCUCUGUAACACCCCGGUCCUGGGUUCCAAAGGAAACCAGACUAAACCGGCAGUAUUAUCUAACCUAACCAAUAAUUCCUGAGUAAUCCUUAAAUCUUAUUCCAAAUCAAACCAAAUCUAGUCUUACAAUAGAAAUGAAUAACUUGAAUAAAUCCGAAAAUAAUCAGAAAACAAUAUCUUAAAAGAAAAUACGAAAAAGAGUUCUUAAAGUGAUAAAAAUCUUCCUCCAUCUCUGAAGGCACACCACACAAGAGCUACUCGUCUAGUUCCUCCCAGACAUCAUCACAAUCACAUUCAUCACACUCACCUGCAAUAUGGAUUUAAAAGAGAGGGGUGAGUAAUUUGGGGAAAUUACUCAGUGAGAACCAAACCAGACUCCCUUCCCACUCAUUUAUUUUCCACCAACAUGUCAAGAAUAAAUCCAACAAGCAACACACAAGCAUCCUAGCGAUGCACAAACAACUAGCAAGCAAUGAUGUCUCCAACCCGCCUAUCACACAAGGCCACACCUCCCAGUCACACAGCUUCAAAAUAUCCAGUCCCUCUGUAACACCCCGGUCCUGAGUUCCAAAGGAAACCAGACUUAACCCGGCAGUAUUAUCUAACCUAACCAAUAAUUCCUGAGUAAUCCUUAAAUCUUAUUCCAAAUCAAACCAAAUCUAGUCUUACAAUAGAAAUGAAUAACUUGAAUAAAUCCGAAAAUAAUCAGAAAACAAUAUCUUAAAAGAAAAUACAAAAAAUAGUUCUUAAAGCGAUAAAAAUC